rnacentral:rRNA from 1 species
GAGUGCGCUGCUACCAUGCAGUCGACGGAAGGCCCAGCUUGCUGGGUGCUCGAGUGGCGAACGGGUGAGUAACACGUGGGUGAUCUGCCCCUGACUUUGGGAUAAGCCUGGGAAACUGGGUCUAAUACCGGAUAUGACCAGUUGGUGCAUGCCUUCUGGUGGAAAGCCUUGUGCGGUUGGGGAUGGGCCCGCGGCCUAUCAGCUUGUUGGUGGGGUAAUGGCCUACCAAGGCGACGACGGGUAGCCGACCUGAGAGGGUGAUCGGCCACACUGGGACUGAGACACGGCCCAGACUCCUACGGGAGGCAGCAGUGGGGAAUAUUGCACAAUGGGCGCAAGCCUGAUGCAGCGACGCCGCGUGAGGGAUGACGGCCUUCGGGUUGUAAACCUCUUUCACCAGGGACGAAGCUUUUGUGACGGUACCUGCAGAAGAAGCACCGGCCAACUACGUGCCAGCAGCCGCGGUAAUACGUAGGGUGCGAGCGUUGUCCGGAAUUACUGGGCGUAAAGAGCUCGUAGGCGGUUUGUCGCGUCGUCUGUGAAAUUCUGCAGCUUAACUGCAGGCGUGCAGGCGAUACGGGCAGACUUGAGUACUACAGGGGAGACUGGAAUUCCUGGUGUAGCGGUGAAAUGCGCAGAUAUCAGGAGGAACACCGGUGGCGAAGGCGGGUCUCUGGGUAGUAACUGACGCUGAGGAGCGAAAGCGUGGGUAGCGAACAGGAUUAGAUACCCUGGUAGUCCACGCCGUAAACGGUGGGUACUAGGUGUGGGGCUCAUUUCACGAGUUCCGUGCCGUAGCUAACGCAUUAAGUACCCCGCCUGGGGAGUACGGCCGCAAGGCUAAAACUCAAAGGAAUUGACAGGGGCCCGCACAAGCGGCGGAGCAUGUGGAUUAAUUUCGAUGCAACGCGAAGAACCUUACCUGGGUUUGACAUACACCAGAUGCGGCUAGAGAUAGUCGUUCCCUUGUGGUUGGUGUACAGGUGGUGCAUGGCUGUCGUCAGCUCGUGUCGUGAGAUGUUGGGUUAAGUCCCCGCAACGAGCGCACCCUUGUCCUGUAUUGCCAGCGGGUUAUGCCGGGUACUUGCAGAAAACUGCCGGGGUCACUCGGAGAGGUGGGGGAUGACGUCAGUCAUCAUGCCCCUUUAUGUCCAGGCCUCCACACAUGCCUACAAUGACCCGUACAGAAGGCUUGGCGAAUACCCGUGGAGGUGUAAG